CCCCGUAACCGACGCUUCAUCGAGCGUGAAAUCGAGUAGGGCGGGACACGUGAUAUCCUGUCUGAAUAUGGGGGGACCAUCCUCCAAGGCUAAAUACUCCUGACUGACCGAUAGUGAACCAGUACCGUGAGGGAAAGGCGAAAAGAACCCCUGUGAGGGGAGUGAAAUAGAACCUGAAACCGUGUACGUACAAGCAGUAGGAGCACCUUCGUGGUGUGACUGCGUACCUUUUGUAUAAUGGGUCAGCGACUUAUAUUCAGUGGCAAGGUUAACCGUAUAGGGGAGCCGUAGCGAAAGCGAGUCUUAACUGGGCGCUCAGUCUCUGGAUAUAGACCCGAAACCGGGUGAUCUAGCCAUGGGCAGGUUGAAGGUUGAGUAACAUCAACUGGAGGACCGAACCGACUAAUGUUGAAAAAUUAGCGGAUGACUUGUGGCUAGGGGUGAAAGGCCAAUCAAACUCGGAGAUAGCUGGUUCUCCCCGAAAGCUAUUUAGGUAGCGCCUCGGACGAAUACUACUGGGGGUAGAGCACUGUUAAGGCUAGGGGGUCAUCCCGACUUACCAACCCUUUGCAAACUCCGAAUACCAGUAAGUACUAUCCGGGAGACACACGGCGGGUGCUAACGUCCGUCGUGGAGAGGGAAACAACCCAGACCGCCAGCUAAGGUCCCAAAGUAUUGCUAAGUGGGAAACGAUGUGGGAAGGCUCAGACAGCUAGGAUGUUGGCUUAGAAGCAGCCAUCAUUUAAAGAAAGCGUAAUAGCUCACUAGUCGAGUCGGCCUGCGCGGAAGAUGUAACGGGGCUAAGCA
rnacentral:rRNA from 1 species